GCAGUCGAACGGCAGCACGGUAAGAGCUUGCUCUUACGGGUGGCGAGUGGCGGACGGGUGAGGAAUACAUCGGAAUCUACCUUUUGGUGGGGGAUAACGUAGGGAAACUUACGCUAAUACCGCAUACGCCCUUCGGGGGAAAGCCGGGGACCAGCAAUGGCCUGGCGCUGAUAGAUGAGCCGAUGUCGGAUUAGCUAGUUGGUGAGGUAAUGGCUCACCAAGGCGACGAUCCGUAGCUGGUCUGAGAGGAUGAUCAGCCACACUGGAACUGAGACACGGUCCAGACUCCUACGGGAGGCAGCAGUGGGGAAUAUUGGACAAUGGGCGCAAGCCUGAUCCAGCCAUACCGCGUGGGUGAAGAAGGCCUUCGGGUUGUAAAGCCCUUUUGUUGGGAAAGAAAAGCAUUCGGUUAAUACCCGGGUGUUCUGACGGUACCCAAAGAAUAAGCACCGGCUAACUUCGUGCCAGCAGCCGCGGUAAUACGAAGGGUGCAAGCGUUACUCGGAAUUACUGGGCGUAAAGCGUGCGUAGGUGGUGGUUUAAGUCCGUUGUGAAAGCCCUGGGCUCAACCUGGGAAUUGCAGUGGAUACUGGGUCACUAGAGUGUGGUAGAGGAUAGUGGAAUUUCCGGUGUAGCAGUGAAAUGCGUAGAGAUCGGAAGGAACACCUGUGGCGAAGGCGACUAUCUGGGCCAACACUGACACUGAGGCACGAAAGCGUGGGGAGCAAACAGGAUUAGAUACCCUGGUAGUCCACGCCCUAAACGAUGCGAACUGGAUGUUGGGUUCAACUUGGAACCCAGUAUCGAAGCUAACGCGUUAAGUUCGCCGCCUGGGGAGUACGGUCGCAAGACUGAAACUCAAAGGAAUUGACGGGGCCCGCACAAGCGGUGGAGUAUGUGGUUUAAUUCGAUGCAACGCGAAGACCCUUACCUGGUCUUGACAUCCACGGAACUUUCCAGAGAUGGAUUGGUGCCUUCAGGUACCGUGAGACAGGUGCUGCAUGGCUGUCGUCAGCUCGUGUCAUGAGAUGUUGGGUUAGUCCCGCAACGAGCGCACUCCUUGUCCUAGUGCCAGCUACGUAAAGGUGGAACCUCUAAAGCAGACGUCGUGACUACGAGUACGUGGGAUGACGUCAGUCAUCAUG
rnacentral:rRNA from 1 species